rnacentral:lncRNA from 1 species
AUGCUCGAUGCUUCCUUUUGGGCUGUCUUCUCUGGGUGCUCUGGUGAAACCUCUUCCUCCAGUGCAGAAAAUCACAGACUUCUCCCCAAAACCCUCUCUGAUAAAACCCUCUCUGGUGUACCCAGCAUCAGGCAAGUGGUCAUUGCUGGGGCCAGCCCCUUCUCUUGCUGCCCAGAUGGGUGUAAGGAGGGAUGGGCUAACAGGUGGGGCGCAUUGCCACCCACAGAUAACUGGCUGCACCCAGCUGCUGGGGGGAAAAGGGGAAUUGGGGAGCAGCUCUGGGUUGGCGAGGGGCUUUGGGGAAGCCUGGGGCUCUUCUUUGCUGAGCCUCUGUCCCUAGACUUUUGCUGGAGGAGCUCUGGGUCUGCUACAGUUCAGCAUUGUGGCUCUGCUCUCUGUAAUUCAACACCGAGAAACCUCACCUUGCCCCUGCUGCCCUUUUCUGCUCGGUUAGAGGAUGGAUUGGGACCGUGAUCUUUGCUCGGAAGCAUUUUUGGAGGUGUUUAUUUCAGUUCAAGCCCAAGAGAUGGCACUGCCAACGUGGUGUGUCCCAAGGAAGCCUUGUUCACCCAAGGUUGUCUGCCCUCUCCAACCUUUGCAGACACAGAAAAUUUCACUGUGGGACAGCUGUGAGAUGGGCAAUCUUCAUAAUUCUCUGUUUUACUCAUUUCUGGGUGAUUAAUCUGUCGCAAUUAAUUGGCAAUCCUUGUUUUCUUUAUGACCGUUGGCUGUGCUUAUCGUUCGCCGCACGCCUUUGGGCCUGAGCUGGGUACCCGGAGCUGACACACAGAUUAUUUUAUGGUGAUUUAUUCUGAUUCCGAGCCCUGAGGAGGCAGAGGUUUGAUCUUUACCUGUCUGGAUCUUUAUCUUUCCCCAGCCCUCGUGGGAUUUUGGGGUGCCCGCUUGGGUGCUGGGGAUGCUCAGGGUUGCUGCUGCGCACAUCGCACAAGGUCAGCCGGGCUGUGCAGGUGCUGCUGGGUUGCAGGGAGAUAAUAAUUCAUGUCUCCGUUGCUGGGUCACAGCUGAAAGUAAUGAAUGGCUUCCAAAACUUGUGCAAGUUUCCUUUUAUUAAUAUAUCUGGGGCUCCUCCUUUGCCCACGGGUGUCUGGGCACAAUUAGGUCAUACUUUUCCAACCUAGAAAACAUGAGAUUUUCUUUCUGCAACGAGAACUGAGAUUCUCUGCUAAUGGCAACGCUCCUGAAGAAGGGUCUGAGGGAGGAGGAGGAACAAAAAAGGCAGAUGUGGCAAGCAGACCAUGAUAAAACUGAUCUGGUGUGAUUCCUGCGCACAGCUAUUCUGCACUAAGAGCAUCUCCUUCAGAGGGUAACUUUCUCUGCAUGGGUCCGAUCCUGAAGCCCACUGGGGACCUUGGAGCCCUCUCCAUCACUGAUCUCACCUUCCUCCUGCAUCUGGAGGAGGCAAAACUGUCCCAAAACAGGGAUGGAGGGGACAUCAGGAGCACCACGGUGCUCC